UGUCCGUCUGUGUGUUGCGGCUCGGUCGGGACGGGGGACUUCGCCAGGAAAUAAUACACAUUUCCCCCUGAGGAAGGCCGACACAAGCCACAUAUUCUGACAACCUAGAGAACUAUCCUCAAGAGGAGUGUCGACUUGGUGUGUUGGAGCGACCCCAAAAAACGGAUUUUACAGCAACUGUUCUUCCGUUGUGAUGUCGGGUCCUGGGUCUCGAAGGAACGGGUCCAGCAUCAAAAUCCGGCUGACAGUAUUAUGUGCCAAGAACCUUGCAAAGAAAGACUUCUUCCGGCUGCCGGACCCAUUUGCUAAGGUAGUGGUGGAUGGAUCAGGACAGUGUCAUUCUACAGACACAGUGAAGAGUACUCUAGACCCCAAAUGGAACCAACACUAUGACCUGUGAGUACACACAGACACACACAGUGUUUUCCACCAGUACAUAGUGGAGCCAGUACAUAGUGGAGCCAGUACAUAGUGGAGCCAGUACAUAG